AAAGAGAAGGACACCGCAGACGACGGCAAGGCCGGCGUAGAGCGAGAGCG
rnacentral:sRNA from 1 species